rnacentral:rRNA from 1 species
GAUGAACGCUGGCGGCGUGCCUAAUACAUGCAAGUCGAGCGAACAGACGAGGAGCUUGCUCCUCUGACGUUAGCGGCGGACGGGUGAGUAACACGUGGAUAACCUACCUAUAAGACUGGGAUAACUUCGGGAAACCGGAGCUAAUACCGGAUAAUAUAUUGAACCGCAUGGUUCAAUAGUGAAAGUCGGUUUUGCUGUCACUUAUAGAUGGAUCCGCGCCGCAUUAGCUAGUUGGUAAGGUAACGGCUUACCAAGGCAACGAUGCGUAGCCGACCUGAGAGGGUGAUCGGCCACACUGGAACUGAGACACGGUCCAGACUCCUACGGGAGGCAGCAGUAGGGAAUCUUCCGCAAUGGGCGAAAGCCUGACGGAGCAACGCCGCGUGAGUGAUGAAGGUCUUCGGAUCGUAAAACUCUGUUAUUAGGGAAGAACAAAUGUGUAAGUAACUAUGCACGUCUUGACGGUACCUAAUCAGAAAGCCACGGCUAACUACGUG